rnacentral:tRNA from 1 species
CGGGGUAUGGCGCAGUUUGGUAGCGCGUUUGCAUGGGGUGCAAAAGGCCAUGAGUUCGAAUCUCAUUACUCCGACCA